GAGAUUCAACAAAAAUAAAAUACAGACAUAUAUAUAAAAAGAAAAUUGACUCAUCUAUACAAUAUAAUUUUUCUAGGUGCCAAUUGAUUUUCCUUAGACAAAGAUAAUUCCGCCGCUGCAAAAUCUUGCUUGUGAUUUGAUGGAGCACUCUAGAGCAACUAAAUUCAUGCCCUACGAAAGAUGCGAGGUUCACAUAUAUAUGAAGGGCCUCCCAUGUUAGCGAUGAAAUGGGAUCAACCUCAACACUAGGAUCUAUAAUACGAAAAAAGAGUGGAGUUGGCCAUACGAUUCAAGAGAGAUAUAGUAUAACUAUAAUAAGUGUUGGAAAUCUAGUUUUGAUGAUCAACAAACAUGUCACAUGCGGAGUCUCAGACCUUGGGUCUACUGGUGAUUCCUGUACAACUCAAAGUCCUAGCCAGAAAGGGAUUCACUUUUGCACCCGAUAAUGAUCUAUUUAUACUAUGCUGACCUGGCAUCCACGUGAUGACAUCAGAAAAUCUUGGCAGAGCUUUAUGGGUUGAGUUUAGGCUAAGAUUUAAGGAAGUACUUGUUAAAGUAAAUUUACAUUUUUAGAAUAUCGAAGAAAAAUCUUUUUACUUCCUUUAUUAGCUAGGGUUAGGAGAUUUGGUGCAACUUGGUAAAUAUUCUUCUAUUCCUAGCCGUCUAUUAUGUAAUCAUAUAUAUAGUACGAUUUUUUUGUAGAGGUUGUGCAUCUACACACACAUAUGAGAGAUCCUUCUAUUGAGCAGCAACUUUGCGAGAACUAAGAGCAAGAUAAAUUGAAGAACACGAUUCCAAAUAUUGAUUCAAGUUUAGUUCACUUGUCUUGAUCUUGUAAUAGGUGUUUUGAAUUGUAAUCUUACUCUGCUUGUAUUAGAAGAUAUAUGUAAGAGGUCUCAAGUGACAAUUUUUAUUCUAGACUAAGAAAUUAGUUUAGAGUAAGCAGCUAUAAUAAGUUUGAUUGUUGGCUGUUGAGUGGCUAGAUUUAGUCUCUUAGGUUAUAAAAGAGUUUUAUAACUUAAACUGCUAGUUUUUUAUAGUGAAAGUUAUGAAAAAGAUUCAUGAGUUGGGUCAUAUUUUUUACUCCCUUGAGCAAGGAGGUUUUCUAUGUAAAAUUCUUGUCUUCUUUAUUUUUCACAUUUAUUAGUUGCAGGAAUUACAAGAACCAGUGUAAGAACCAUGUUCUGAGAAAAACGUAAAAUUAUGGUAGAAAAUUCUAAUUGGUUGAUAUGCUAUUCAACGCCUUUUAGUGUAUAAGUAAGGCAUAAUUAUAAUAACUGGUAAUAAAGCAUGCUUCAAUUACAAGGCUAACACCUUUGAGAGAUUCACAAGAUGAGUGCACCACUUGUGAUUGAUAAGGGUCAAUCCACCACACGUCCACCUUUGUUUAAUGAAAAGUACUUCAGCUGUUGGAAGCUAUGAGAGAACUUCUUAACUACUGAAGAUUACAAGUUAUAAAAAAUUAUUCUAGACAGACCAAACAUUCAUAUCAAUCUUGAUGCCGGAGGAAGAGAAGUUCCCAACUAAAGAAAUGAGUUUAAUGAUAUCGAUCGCAAACUCAUGGAGAAAAAUGCCAAAGCCAAAAAGAUACUUCUUUGUGGCUUGGGUUCUAGUAACUACAACUGACUUUCUGCAUGCACUAAUACAAAGAAAAUUUAGCACACCUUGCAAACUACACAUGAAGAAACAUCUCAAGUGAAGGAAUCCAAAAUUGAGAUGCUUUAGAGGAACUCUAAGUCAUUCACCAUGAAAGACUCUGAACCAAUCUACGAUAUGGUUAUUGUUCUCAAUCAUCAUAAAUAAGUUGAGAUCACUUGGGAAGAUAUUUACUUUCGAGGAAUUGGUGAGAGAAGUUCUCAGAAUACUUUUUGCCUCAUGGGAAAGCAAAGUCACUGCACUUAAAAAGGUAAAGGAAUUGAGUACAAUCACCCUGGAUGAACUAGUUGGAAAUUUGAGAACAUAUGAGAUGAGAAGAAAUUGAUAUAAGUCUAUUUGCCAAACUAUUCAAGAGGUUUUUGAUAAAUACAAAGAAACUGGAAAAAGAGAGGCUCCUCGCAAGCCAAAGGCCUUAAAAAGGACAAACUUCAAUGACUGUUAUAAAUAUGGGAAGCUUGACCACAUAGUUAGUGAUUGUCUACAGUAAAAAUUUGAAUAGGAAAAUGAGCAUGUCAAGAAACAGAAGAAGGACCUAAAGAAGGAUCGUGGUUCUGGCUCUAGUUACAAAAAAAACUCAAUUCACUAAAAUAAAGGUUGCAGAGGAAGCCAUGAAGCAAGCAUUCCUGGAUGUAUAUGAAGACGACAAUGAUGACAAUCCAGAUGAAGAUGAAGAGAAAGAUGAGCCAUUAUCCUUGUUUUCUAUGACUGCAGAAGAUGACC
rnacentral:lncRNA from 1 species